AGAACGAACGCUGGCGGCAGGCUUAACACAUGCAAGUCGAGCGCCCCGCAAGGGGAGCGGCAGACGGGUGAGUAACGCGUGGGAACAUACCCUCCGGUUCGGAAUAGCUCAGGGAAACUUGGAUUAAUACCGGAUACGGCCUAGCGGCGAAAGAUUCAUCGCCGGAGGAUUGGCCCGCGUUCGAUUAGCUAGUUGGUGAGGUAACGGCUCACCAAGGCGACGAUCGAUAGCUGGUCUGAGAGGAUGAUCAGCCACAUUGGGACUGAGACACGGCCCAAACUCCUACGGGAGGCAGCAGUGGGGAAUAUUGGACAAUGGGCGCAAGCCUGAUCCAGCCAUGCCGCGUGAGUGAUGACGGCCUUAGGGUUGUAAAGCUCUUUCGCUCGGGACGAUAAUGACGGUACCGAGAUAAGAAGCCCGGCUAACUUCGUGCCAGCAGCCGC
rnacentral:rRNA from 1 species